CAGGAGUCUUUUGAGGUGUUGCUUCUAACGCUGAAACACAUUGGAAUUCAACAGAUGAGUGACUGGUAACUUGCCAUCCGUGACUUUCAGUGCCUAAAAUGAAUGAUGGAUGGUCCUAGGAACCCCCUUGUCCCUUUGACUGACAUCAUAAUGAGCAGAGAAAGACGCCAGGAAGAACAAACUCUAAGAGCAUGAGGCCAGGGCGAGAAGAAAAUAGAUGAGUUUGGUUAAAUGGGCAAAUUCCGCAACUGGAUGUCUGAGUUUGAGCCUGUGUUCAUGCCUUACCAAGUGGGUGCCCGUGUGUCAAGUGUUCAACUGCGAUCUGCUCCCAUCGCCUCAUCCAGGGGGACGUUCCACAAGCAUAACGAUAACAAUCACUACAACCUUAAUGUCUGCAUUAUAGUGGGUAUCAA
rnacentral:lncRNA from 1 species